rnacentral:rRNA from 1 species
GACCUAUCUGAAGAAAAGAAAAUUUUUUUUUUUUAAUUUAAUUAAUAAAAAUAAUUUUAAUAAUUUUAGUUUUAGUAUUUUUUAAAGAAAUAAAUAAUUUUAAUAAUAGUAUAUUUGUAUUGUAAAAGAAAAUUGAAAUAAUUUGAAAAAUUUUUAUUUAAAAAGAAAAUUUAAUUUAUUGUACCUUGUGUAUCAGGGUUUAUUAAUUAAUUAAUUAUUAUAUUAAUUUUUCUCGAAUUUUAAAGAUUUAAUUAUAUAUAAAAGUUACUGUGGAAUAAUUAUUUUAAAUAUAUAAUUAGAAAUGAAAUGUUAAUCGUUUUAAAAUAUAUCUAGUUUUUUAAGAAAUAAAUUUAAUUUAGAUUUAUAAAUUAAAAGUUCUAUUUAUAUAGUAUUUUUAUUUUAUAAAAUUAAUAUUUUAAGGGAUUAGCUUUAAAAUAAAUUUUUAAAUUUUUAAUAAAAUAUUUAAUAAAUGUAAGCUUAAAAAUAGUUAUCAUUAAUAAAUUUGUUAUAAUUUAUUUUAAAAUUUUUAUUAUUUAUUGUUAAAUUAAAUUAUUUAUUAAAAUAUAAAUUUUAAUGAUAAUAAUUUAUAAAUUAUGAUAAAAUUAGUAUAUUUAAUUUAUAUAAAUUAUUUAAAAUGAAAGGUUUAAAUAAGGAAUUCGGCAAAUUAUAUAUUCACCUGUUUAUCAAAAACAUGUCUUUUUGAAUUUAAUUUAAAGUCUAACCUGCCCACUGAUAAAUUAUUAAAGGGCCGCAGUAUUUUGACUGUGCGAAGGUAGCAUAAUCAGUAGUCUUUUAAUUGAAGGCUUGUAUGAAUGGUUGAAUGAGAUAUAUACUGUCUUUUUUAAAUUUUUAUAGAAUUUUAUUUUUUAAUUAAAAAGUUAAAAUGUAAUUAAAAGACGAGAAGACCCUAUAGAUCUUUAUUUUUGUUAAUUAUAAAUUAAAAAGAAUAAUUAAAUUUAUAUUUUAAUAAAAAAUUUUACUGGGGUGGUAUUAAAAUUUAAAAAACUUUUAUUUUUAAUUUACAUUAAUUUAUGAAUAUUUGAUCCAGUUAUAUUGAUUAAAAAAUUAAGUUACCUUAGGGAUAACAGCGUAAUUUUUUUUUAGAGUUCUUAUCGACAAAAAAGAUUGCGACCUCGAUGUUGGAUUAAGAGUUAUUUUUAGGUGUAGAAGUUUAAAGUUUAGGUCUGUUCGACCUUUGAAUUCUUACAUGAUCUGAGUUCAAACCGGCGUAAGCCAGGUUGGUUUCUAUCUUUAAUUAAUUAUUAUAUUAUAGUACGAAAGGACCUAAUAUAAAAAAUAUAAAUUUUAAAUUUAUGAAUUAUAUUAAUAUUUAAUAAACUAUUUUGGCAGAUUAGUGCAAUAAAUUUAGAAUUUAUUUA